UUAUAUGUAAAUAAAACACAGGUUGUAUGCCUUUGAAACAGUAACACACUGCAUACUUGAUGACUGCUGCCUUGUCCCUACUCCCUACUGCAGGGGAGAAAAUGGACCAGUCUCACCAAUGAAAAAGGUAAACUAAAAUAUUAACUACUGUGUGGAAAUACAGAUGGUGUGCAUAUAAAAUAACAUCUUCUUGAUUCCUUCUUUAGAAAUUUUUUCCUUCAUUUCUUGAAGUCACUUUUUAUGAUACAUUAUUAUAUGAUAUACUAUCUCACAGUUAUUAUGGUAAGUUAUUUUUAUUGUUAGUACAAAAGUAUACACAUAAUGUUGUGCUAAUUCCAGUAAUGUCCGGGUAAGGCUUCAUGCACAUGACUGCAUUGUAUAAUAUUUCCCUAUGUGAUCCAAAACUCUUUUGUUGUUAUAUUAUGAUCUCUAAGCAGAAUAUUGAUGAUCCUGAAAUUAUAUACCAUACCUAAGUUUUUUCUCAAACAUUUCAUUAGCUUUCCAUAGAAUGCUAUUGUAAGUGCAUUUGACUGUUCAGUUCCAGGGUAUGAAUUCCAGUAGAGUACUUUCUGGAUAAUAUUUCCUUACAAAAUGCUGUUAACUGCUUCCUCCAAGAAGUUAAUUUCUUGUUUUAAAAUUUAUAAAUUAUGUUUAAAUGGAAGAUAGAGAAGGCAGAUGCUGGAUUAUUUAGUACCAAGCUGGUUUUCUGUCCUGAUGUGGGUAAGGGCUGGUCACUUGUUAUGUUUCUCAUUCCUUUAGAUUUGUAGCUGUUUUAGACUUUAUAAAUAAUCAUUUUGAGUAUUCCAAGUCCAUAGGCAUUUUCUGACCCAAUUGUCCAUUUUACAGGAGUAUUUUUCUUAGAAGUUUGGAACCAUAAAAUAGAAAUUUUCCUAACUAGUCAAGAUUCCAGGGUAUAUGUGGGUAGGAUUUUGCUCAUUUCCUGCUGUGUGAUUUCAUUGUGCUGUUCUGACCUUGUUUUUGCAUAGGGUGCUGGCCGGUAUAAACUGGAAAUGUAUGUUAAGUCGUUGUCCAAGGCAGUGUUGCAGAUGUGGCCAGUAUUUGUUUUAAAGGAAUCAGUGAAGGGCAUUCUGCACUCGAGCUUUGUGAAAAAGAGUGCAGAUGCUCAUGGCUGUGGAUGCUGUGUGGUGUGAAGAACACUGCAGUUCAUUGAAUAUGGUGUGAGGAAUGCUGCUGUGCACUGACUGUGUGGUGUGAGGAACGCUGCUGUGCACUGACUGUGUGGUGUGAGGAAUGCUGCUGUGCACUGACUGUGUGGUGUGAGGAAUGCUGCUGUGCACUGACUGUGUGGUGUGAGGAAUGCUGCUGUGCACUGACUGUGUGGUGUGAGGAAUGCUGCUGUGCACUGACUGUGUGGUGUGAGGAAUGCUGCUGUGCACUGACUGUGUGCUGUGAGGAAUGCUGCUGUGCAUUGACGCUGCCUUUUUUCUUUUCUCCCUACACCUGCAUCCUUCUGGUGGCUCAGGUUGGACAACUAGGUGCCCAUGACCAACUCGUCAUUGUGGAUGGAUUUAGUCUGGUUGGACUUUCUCAGGAAAGGCAGCUGAACUCAUGACUAGUACCAGUUCCACGGUUACCCUGGAAGUUGCAAAUCAAGACAUCCUCUCUCACUGCCUGUCCACCUUUCUUACCCAGACAUUGUCCUCCAUGGUGCAGAGAGGUGUGUGCAGCCGUGCCAGUCUUGUUCACCAUGGGAUGGAAGAGGUCCCUGACCUGUGAGCCUAGAGGUGACCAGGUGCUCCAUUCUGAGACUGAGAGAGGCAGGAUGCCCACUCAAGGGUCCAUAGCAGGGAAGGUUUUCAAGCUAUGUACAGUGCUGGAAAAGCCUACACAGGGCAUACAGUUAGCAGUGAUGUGUUUGCAGGGAGUCCAAGGAACCAGCUUUGUACUGAUGCAGGUGGGCAAGCAUUUAUCAUCCACCUGCCACUCUGACAGCAAUAAGAGUAUUGCUUAAGUUUUAUUUCAUAGAUUUGAUCCCUGACCAAAAUACCAAAAACUGCACCCUUAACGAUGUAGCAAAUAGAAUAGUGGAUACUAGGCCAAGAACCUUUGACUCUUCUAAUACCAUUGUGUAUUUCAGAGCAAGGAAGGAGAGGUAUCAAUGGACAGCAGUCUGCUUUCCCCACGAGUGCUCUACCACUGAGUUAGUAGCCUUAGCCCUCCUCACCUUUAGAAAAAGGGUGUGACUAAGUUGUCCAUGGUGACCUUGAACUCAUGCUGUAGACCAGGCUAGCCUUGAACUUCUGAUCCCCCUUCCUACUGUGUGUCUUGAUUGUCUGGUAUUACAGGCCCAUUUCUCUACAGCUGACCAGCUUGCUUGCUUCCUCCUUUCUUUUCUUCUCCUUUCUAUCUCUCUCUUUCUUUCGUUCUUCCUUCCUUUCUCUCUCUCUCUGUCUCUCUCUCUCUCUCUCUCUUUCUCUCUCUCUGCCUUUCUUGAUUUUUCGUUCUUUCUUUCGUUCGUUCUUUCAUACUUUCCUUCCUUUCUUUCAUUCUUUAACUUUCUUUUCUUCCUUCUUUCAUUCCUUUGUUCCUUUCUUUUAAGAUUCAAUUAUUUGAGUGGUCUAUCUGCAUGUACAUCUGUGUGUCCAAAGAGGGCAUCAGAUCUGAUUAUAGUUAGUUAGUAUCCAUAAUAUGGUGACUGGAAUCAAACUCAGGACCUUUGAAAGUGCAGCCAGGCUCUGAACCACUGAGCCUGCUCUCCAGCCCCAGCCCAUUUUCUUAAACUUAGCACACUUGGUUCACAUGAGAAUUGUCUGUCCAUGAGCAAGAUAAGGUUAAUCAUAGCAAAGAGUGCUUAUCCCUUGCCAGAUCAACCUGGGGUCUCCUGUGACUUAUGCUGUCCUUUUCCAGGCCUGUCACCAGUGCCUUGGCGUUUGUGGGACUCAUCCACAGAGGCAUGCAACUCAGAGAACUGCACCCCAACUUGGUGCACAGGAACUCUUUCAGGUGUCACUUGAUUGUCACAGGUUUCUGCUCGGUCAGCAAGGAAGGGAAGCCUAGCCCUGUGCCAGGUCAGUUCCCAGUACAGAAGUUCAUUCAUGGCAAACCCAAGUGAUCAUUGCAGUGAGCGUUGGCGGUCUAGAGCCCACAUCAAGGAGGCCUUCCAGACUUUGGAAGUGGAGAGGGAGGGAAGAAAACAAAAGUAUGGUACACUCACACUUUGGAAGGACACACAUCCAUCCUAAGUGAAACACAAGUUCUGUUUUCCAGUUGACAAGUAUAUAACAUGGCUCUUAAGGCUACACCCACAUUGUAAAAGCCGGUGAUGUCAAUCACAGCAGGUAAGAUGUCAGCCACCUGAGUCAUGCAGAGUUUGACCACAUGAGACUCACCCCAGGACUUAAAUGCAGUGAGUUCAAGGACUCACAUGCUAUGCUGCGUGGGCUCCUCCUUAUGCCACACCUUGACCCCAUUGCACCCUGGGCCUCCACACCAUAAGCCAGAGUGCAGAUCCCUGGGCACAGUAGGACACACCUAGGCUAGUUUCCACUCCCAUGGAUGUUCUUGUGGCCUUGUCAGAGCACUGUGACCACAUCCCACAUCUGAACAGCAAGCUAAUCAACAGGAUGCUCUAGGAGUCCAUCCGUUUGUCUUCUUCAGAGACCCCAUAAUAGAGGGGGCAGAAAUCCAGGCUUUAGGGAGCUACCACAGCCAUGAUUGUUCAUUUGUCCCAGCCACUCCACCUUUGGCCAAGUUACAUCUCUGCCAGGCCCUGCCAUGUUGUCUUCAACAUGUUUGUGUGUCAGUGAUACUUGUAUGAACUAUGCUACACGUUGGCCUAGAGGCUGGGCUUUCCUCUUGCAUUUCCAGCAAGACUACAGAGUUCCCGGGGGAGACUCUCAUGGCUCUUCAUGUUCUGGCAGCACAGUCUGCAGAUGUCUCUAAGGUAUUGGACAUCAGACCCCACUGAGGAGUGAGAGGCUUUCAGUGGCUUAUAGACCCAGGGCCUGGGCAUGAUGGCCUUUAUUGUGUGUUUGAUAGCAUGUAUGCUCUGCUCCAAGUGUAGACAGACACUCCCCAUGCCUGUAGUCUGUGCUUGGAGUGUGGGUACACACUCUCCAUGCAAACAGCUGUCUACGCACACACAGAUGCCAUUUUCAUGAUUUACACCUGUU
rnacentral:lncRNA from 1 species